GAACAGACUUGGUAGCAGCAAGUGCUGGCUCGUCUGGAAAUAGAGUGAGAAGUGGUCUGAUGGGAGCAGACCACCUACUCAUCCUCCAAACAGUGAGCUGCUGCUGGUGGCAACAAGGAAGUCUCCAAGCAUUUUAAAAGGAAGCUAACAUCACAGAUUGAAAAAUUCCCAUCCUGAGGCUUCAGUGACCACGUUUGGAGCCAGCCAGAGGAACCUACUGUUCUCUCUCAGGGGCUGCCUGUGGUGCUGCAUUAACAUCACAUCUCUGUGGUGAAGGUCUCAGCAGUAACCUUCACCAAGACUUGCUGCCCAGCCCUGUGUUUGCCUUUUCCUGGGACAAAGAGAAGGAAUAUCAGCUGAAAAUGCCACAGGCAGCAGGGAUCAGUGGGGCUCUAUGCACCUCCAGUGAGUCUGAAAGCCCCUGGACUUUCUCACCACAAGCUCUUCAGGCUUUGGUGACUCCAGUUUAUGGCUGCAUGUGUUGUUUUGCAAAGGACUUUGGGCUCAUAGAUCUGUUUCUCAUUUCAGAAACAAAGAGGAUGCAGCAGAGACCAAAAGGAAAUUCUCCUCGGACUUGUCCAGAAGGAUGGGUAAGUGCAAGGAAAUAUAAUUCCAUGGCUCUGGAAAAGGAGUAUCCACUUGUUUAGUAACCUGGUAAAAUGAGGUGCUGGCUGUGCUUCAUGCAGAGGCUGGAAGCCACAGGAGAUUUGGGGUUACAGAGAGGGCUGGGCAGGGUUUGCUGCCCUCUCAGCUCCUUUCCUGUAUCACUGUCAGCUUAGAUUUCACAUCAAGAGCAUGAUGUUAUGGCUGGCGGUGACAACAGCAGAAUGUCACUGGCAGAGGUGAAAUCUUUCCCUCCAUGAGGGUAAUUCUCCCUUCCCUUUCCCCUUCCACUUGGCUUGUGUUGGGCCCUGCUGGCUCCUGAUGCUGAGCAGGGCAGGCCCUCAUGCUGCUCAGAGGACAGCAUUUACUGUGCUGAGCAGCACUUCUUGCUCUCUGGGUCAGUGGCUCCCUGUCUCUGAUGCCUUUUGGCUGCACAGUGACCUGGGACAGAGGGAAACCCCUGGUCACUGCCUGAAACAAACUGGGGCCAGUGGGAGCUGCACUGUUUGCCAUCGUGGCAGCACUGCACAGAGUGUUCCUCUGCCAUGCUGGCAGGUUUGUACCAGCAGGAGGUCUGCCAGGGAUGUCCCUUCAGAGCCCUGGGGGUCCCUAUGCUUUUUAGGGCCAGGCUUAAGCUAGGUCUGGGUCUGAGGGGCAGGCUUACAUGUUAAUGGUUCAUGUUCUCUGUUCAGGGCUGUCUCUCACCUGCCCUGAGCAGGGGCUGAUGUUGGGGAAAGGUGCCUGUGUCCACCUGCUGCAGCAGCCCCCCUGCCAGCAUCUGUCCCCAAGGGCCAGUUCAGCAAAGCCUUGGUGUUGUUCUGGGUCCAGUUUUCAUUUUUCAGCUGGUUAUGGAGAAAAGGAUGAAGGUACCUGCUGCUGCCAGGCCACAAUAUAAAACAGAGGAAGGGGACUGGCCUUUUAGUGUGCUUAAAGAUCCAAAAGUUUUAUCUGACUCUGCUUCUGUCUCAGCCCUGAUCCUGUUGUAUCUUUUUCUUCUAAUGCCUGAGCCUUUUUUUUUUGUUUUGCUAUUUUUUCUUGUUCCCUUUUCCCUCUCCCUUUAUGAAAAAUGGCUUUCCCAUCUGCAUCUGUCAGGAGUCUGCCUGAGAUGGGUGUAUGGCUCAGUGAAUAUAUAAAUGUGUGGUUGGGUCGUGGCCCCCCUGACAGGCCAGAGAUGAAUUCCAAACAGGAAGAGCAGGGAGAAGAGCUUCUGCUGCCUCUCAUGGUUGUUUUUGUUAUCCCAAGGAGGUGUGAGAAUCGCCUUUGGGAGCAGUGCUUCCUUCUGCUCCUGCUCUGCCUUACCAAGGAUCAGUUCUCUCUCAUCCAUCAUUAGAUGAGCUCUCCUUGCUCCCAUCUCAGCUGCUGAUGGGAAUGCUGGGGAAAGGGAGAACUUUCUAAUCCUGCUUUUUUAUUACUAAUCUUUUCCCUCUGCCUUUUGCAUCCCACCUUAGUUAGGCCCAUGACAAUAAAUUUGGCAGGCUGGGGCUUGAGGAUACUUGCUGGUCCAGAUACUUUUAAAGAGAGUUAAGGAUGAGGUAGAGGGAAGGGUGUUGUUUUAUAGAAUCAUAGAAUAUCCUGAGUUGGAAUUCACAAGGAUCAUCGAGUCUAACUCCUGUCCCUGCACAGAACACCCCAACAAUCCCACCAUGUGUCUGAGAGCGUUGUCCAAACACUCCUUGAGCACUGGCAGGCUUGUGGCUAAAACCACUGCCCUGGGGAGCCUGUUCCAAUGCCCAAUCAUCCUCUGAGUGAAGUACAUUUUCCUAAUACCCACCCUAAACAUCCCCUGACACAGCUUCUUGCUGUUCCUUUGGGUCCUGUUGCUGGUCAUCACUUUGACCUAAGCCCCUUAAAGGGCUUAAAAUGCAGCUUUGGAAUUUUUUCAGCAGUGGUACAUGCCCUGAAAUCACACAGAUGCUCCUACACAUUUCAUCUUCUCUGUGUCCCCUUUCCCUGCUGCAGGUGAUCAGCACCGUGGGGCUCUGCAAGGAGAGUUCUUGUAUGUAUGCUGUGUACCUGCAGGGUCUCUCAGGUGCCCAGAGGGAGUUGGCAGCCUGCCCUGACACCCACGGGUUUGCUGAGCUGCUCCUGCCUCUUGGCUUUGUGCAGGCUGGUACAUGAUCUGCUUCCCUCACCCCCACGUCCAGAGAAGCCUACAGCCAGGUGGGCUCAGAGGAGCAGGCAGGCAGAAAAUGAAAUGAGUCUGUCCAUCCACGCUCUUGCCACAGCAACCCGGUCAAGGAGGGGAGGUUCCUGGGAGGGCAGAUCCCCAGUUUGGCAGGAAGAGAGAGCAGGCAGCUCGAGCUGAGCUCAUUUUUCACCAAGCAGAUGGAUGUUCAGUGGGGCCCCACAAAACCCCUCUUGCUCCAGGCUGCAAGCCCACCGAACCAAAGUGUUGUGCUGACGUGGAACAAAGCAUCGCUCCAUUGAUGCUCAGCCUGAAUUGCUUCUUCCAUUCAACUCAGGACUCAGCAACAGCCUCCUCCUGCCACCAGCUCCCACCAGGAGACAGCUGCACACCUGCAUCCAGGCGAGGAGGGAGCAGGAGCUGUGCAGCCACGAGGAAGGCGGCCGAUGGCAGAUUCCUGCAGCAUUUCCACCCCGCGGGGCUCUUGGCCAGCGAGCUUUGAAAGCUCUCAGUGCUCCUGCAGGGCUCCACGAUACCUGGAGCAAGGAGGGUGUGCCAUCAAACCACCUCCUGGGCUGCUGUCUGGACCUGGGAUUGCUGAUCUCUGGGAGAUGUGAAACAGGGAGGACAAGGGGGACCAGAUGGAAAUGGGGAAUAAUUACCUUGCAGGGUGAAGGGGGCUGGCUGGUUUGGGAACUGCUGGGAGCUGACACACAGGUGCAGAUGGAUGGUUAUGGCAGGCAGGGUGGAGGGAUGAAAGAUGCCUUUUUAAAGCAUCUGCCUCCCUCUCUUCCUCUGCUUUAUAACCUGUUUUUAUAGAGACUGCAUGAAGAACACAUUUUUUUUUUAUUAGCAGUUUGGGAGUGGAGAGUAAUAAAGAUUAAUUUUUAAAAAUAA